AGGAAGAGGAAGAGAAAGGAAAAAUUGGAAAAGUUUUUCCCCCUUCCUUUUCAGCAGAAUAUGGGCCAUUCAGAAAAUCCAUGGUUCCAUAGAUUCAGACCUGGAGAAGAGAAAAGGUGUCACAGAAGGCAGUGACAACUCAGGGACCUGCCUGUGGGACAGAUUACCACUUCCACCCUCAGGAGCUUUCCUUUUAAAGGCGCAGCCCACGCAAUCCUGUCGAUACAAGGAAUCUCUGGUUGGAAAAGAGAAACUACAUUAGCCUUAAGCUUGCUCUAAUAUGUUGAGAUUCGCUUAUUAAAAACCCUCCAGGGGCCGGCACCGGGGCCUAGUGGUUAAGUUCGUGCGCUCUGCUUCGGCGGCCCAGGGUUUCACCAGUUCGGAUCCCCGGCACAGACAUGGCGCCACUCAUCGAGCCACGCUGAGGCUGC
rnacentral:lncRNA from 1 species